rnacentral:rRNA from 1 species
GACGUAGGGGGCCAGCGUUGUUCGGAAUUACUGGGUGUAAAGGGUUCGUAGGCGGUGUGGCAAGUCGGGAGUGAAAUCUCUGGGCUCAACCCAGAGACUGCUUCCGAAACUGCUGUGCUUGAGUGUGAGAGAGGCUCGUGGAAUUGCAGGUGUAGCGGUGAAAUGCGUAGAUAUCGGGAGGAACACCAAUGGCGAAGGCAGCUCGCUGGGAUGGUACUGACGCUGAGGCGCGAAAGCGUGGGGAGCAAACAGG